UACGGGGGGGACAAGCGUUGUUCGGAAUUACUGGGCGUAAAGGGCUCGUAGGUGGCCAACUAAGUCAUACGUGAAAUCCCUCGGCUUAACCGGGGAACUGCGUCUGAUACUGGAUGGCUCGAGUUUGGGAGAGGGAUGCGGAAUUCCAGGUGUAGCGGUGAAAUGCGUAGAUAUCUGGAGGAACACCGGUGGCGAAGGCGGGUCUCUGGGCCGAAACUGACGCUGAGGAGCGAAAGCGUGGGGAGCAAACAGG
rnacentral:rRNA from 1 species